UUUCUUUUCCCAACAGCAGGGGCACUUUCAAGGGAUUAAUUAAAUUAAUGAAGAGUGCACAUAGCCAUAAAGUCAUCCCGAGACAACGCAGGCAAGCCCCAGAAUAAAUGUGCACUAGAGAGCAAAUUAACUUUUAGUGCUACACCCUUUUUUCUGAGAUUUGGAUCUGCGCAUCUGCGUGCGUGGACAUAAAUCGGAUUUUCGCUGGUCUAGAAUCUCGGCUUUUUGGUGAUGUGGAACAAGGAAGGAGCACACGCAAUUCUCAGUGGCGGACCGAAUAUAAGAAAUUAAACAAGCAGCACAGGAAUGCUGUAGCUGAAACGAUCGACAAGGUAAUAUGGAGCGUCACAUUCAGGUAAUUUGCUUCCAUUUCUGGUUAGUUCGAAGAAUAUUACAGAUUACACGUGGAAGCGGCGUCUCUUGGACAUCUCAUCAGGUUAGCAUACAUGGCUCUUAGAAUGAGUGAAAGAGUAAGAGCGAAGGCUUCAGGCAAGGGCUCCUCAACCAACCAAACGACCAAUUGCAUUAUCACAUUAAAUAACUCGUUUCCAAACUUUGACUCUCAUCCUUUUUUAAUCUGAAGAUUUUUUAUUAUUUUUUUCGGAAUUCCAGUUUGCAAUUUGCCAGCCAGUGUCGAUGUCAUUUCGCAAAAGCCGCAACCUCGAUCGAUCCCUGUCAAAGCCUCAUGUACUGCCGAUCAUUUCAACGUCUAUAUGUCAAAGAAGCAAUAAAAAACACACGCCCAACCGCUUAGGGAUGCCGCAUUUGAUCCUUCAAGUUGAUGUACUAUUAUUUUGGCUUAUUAAAUUUGCUAUAUAUAAUUAAGCCAUGCCCGACAUUGCAAAACUGACUUGUUUUUCCCUUUAUUUCUUCCCCGUGGUUUUGCUCUAAGAAUGGAUUUCUUUCGACUGA